rnacentral:rRNA from 1 species
UACGUAGGGUGCAAGCGUUGUCCGGAAUUAUUGGGCGUAAAGAGCUCGUAGGCGGCUUGUCGCGUCGGCUGUGAAAACCUGGGGCUCAACCCCGGGCCUGCAGCCGAUACGGGCAAGCUAGAAUUCGGUAGGGGAGACUGGAAUUCCUGGUGUAGCGGUGAAAUGCGCAGAUAUCAGGAGGAACACCGGUGGCGAAGGCGGGUCUCUGGGCCGAUAUUGACGCUGAGGAGCGAAAGCAUGGGGAGCGAACGGG